rnacentral:lncRNA from 1 species
UUUCAUUCUUUUAAUGUCUUUUGAUGAACGGAUGUUUUUAGUUUAUUUAGGCAAAGCUAUAAGGUAAGAACAAUGUUAGAUUAAGCUUUAAAAGGUGAUUCAGUUCCAUGAACAGAAAGAUUGGGAUUCCCAGCACUAUUGAGCUGUUUGAAUCAAACUCCUAGAAGCCUUAAUAUAUUUUUUCAACUUUCCCUUUGUAAUUGUAGUGUUGGAAAAACAAUAGUUACCCUCAGAGUGUUGUAGAAAUUACCAUCUGUUGAUUGAAACAAUGAGAAAAUAUUACCAAAAUGGUUAGAACAAUAAGAGUACUAUAUAAUAUCCAUGAAAAAUUGACACUAGCCACAGGUUCCUUCAGGAAACCAUCAGUGUUCUGAAAAUAAUAAAUCAGAAAAUCAAUGUUCAGUUUUCAACAGCACGGUGAGGAUGGCAGUGAAAGGUAUUAUUUUAAGAAUUUUCUCAGGCCCUGAGUUGUAAGAGUCUGUAAUCAGUGAUAUUUUUAUUUAAAGAAAAUCAGAGCAUGAAAGAGCAUUAUUUUAAUAUCUAAUAUUUAAUGCUAGAAUUAAAAAUCUAGUGUAAGAUUUAUGUUGGAAAAAGCAAACAAGCAAACAAAGUAAAUUACAGCUCUCUGUGUAAUAACGUGAAUGAAUGGAGAUUCCUCGGCAAAUUGAAUUUACUAUGUGAAAUCUUGUAAAUGAGGCAUAUUUUAAAAAAUCUUGGCUCUAAAGUGAUUUGGUGAAAUGAUUAUUUUCCUCAUUAAGACAAAAUAAAUUUCUGUCAUAUUAUUAAACAUUUCACAACCUCAAAGUGCUGUUUUAUGGUAGACCAGCUAGAAGUAAAGAUUAAAGUGGACUGUAUUUGUGGUCUGGUCAGAGUUUAAGCAGAGGACACAGUUUCUGGAAGCUUUUCCUUCAGCCUGGAUGUCAAGGGUCCUUUUGCUGCUUAGCACCUCCAGCAGCCUCCACCCAGGUUCAUCAUCUAGCUGUGUUGUCUCCACUGUUUCCUGGAGAAAGGUCCAAUUACCCAAAAUACAGUUGUGCCCUUUUUAUGUUUUCAUCAUAGUUAAUUAUAGAAAAACUUGGUUAUAUGCGAAGUCCUACUAAAACAAAAGUAUCAUAGGAAAUAUUUCUAAGAAUCAUGCAAAAUCAUGAUUUUGUAUUAAGAAAUUCUAAAUUAAGAACCAUGUAAAAAUGAGAGUUUGAAAUGUUACUCUGUCAGACACUGAAGAAUUUAAGAACCGUUAAUUGUUUGUAUACUAGCUCCUCGAAGGUAGGUCUGUUUUUAUUCAUCUUUACGGCCUUCGUUGUCCCUGACAUAUUGCUGCACGUAGAGUAUAUGCACAGUGUAUACUUGUGGACUAAGUGAAUGCCAACUUUAGCUUUUGAAAAUGUAAUAUAUGAGUUUAACAGAUGUUGUCUCUUCACUUUCUAAGUACUUGGAACUUUGAAAAUGGCUCUUUCAAUAGUAAAGUUUUUUUCUCUAGAUAUGUUCUUAAAUAAAAAGUGAUGUAAAGAAAGGAAAACAAACUUAAACCAUUAAAAUGUUUUAAAUUACUAAAUCUGCCUCCAGGAAUGUGUAAAGAGAUAAUGACUACCUAACAUAAUUUUUUAUGGGUUAAAUUUUCUCUAAAUGUGAUCUAUUCUAUUUUGAACUACAAAUAUUUUAAAAGUAUAAAUUGUAAGCAACUGGAAAAUUGGUUUUAGGCACGUGAUAUGCAAUUUCACAAAUGUUCAGGAUCCU